rnacentral:tRNA from 1 species
GAGGGUAUAACUCAGUGGUAGAGUGUGUGCUUUGCAUACAUGAGGUCCUGGAUUCAAUCCCCAGUACCUCCC